rnacentral:miRNA from 1 species
CAGGCUGCUCUGUGCUUGGCU